UACGUAGGGUCCGAGCGUUGUCCGGAAUUACUGGGCGUAAAGAGCUCGUAGGUGGUUUGUCGCGUUGUUCGUGAAAACUCACAGCUCAACUGUGGGCGUGCGGGCGAUACGGGCAGACUAGAGUACUGCAGGGGAGACUGGAAUUCCUGGUGUAGCGGUGGAAUGCGCAGAUAUCAGGAGGAACACCGGUGGCGAAGGCGGGUCUCUGGGACGGUACUGACGCUGGAGACGGCGAAAGCCGUGGGGAGCGAACAGG
rnacentral:rRNA from 1 species